rnacentral:rRNA from 1 species
AUCAGAAGUGCGAAUGCUGACAUGAGUAACGACAAUGGGUGUGAAAAACACCCACGCCGAAAGACCAAGGUUUCCUGCGCAACGUUAAUCGACGCAGGGUUAGUCGGUCCCUAAGGCGAGGCUGAAAAGCGUAGUCGAUGGAAAACAGGUUAAUAUUCCUGUACUUCUGGUUAUUGCGAUGGAGGGACGGAGAAGGCUAGGCCAGCCUGGCGUUGGUUGUCCAGGUUUAAGGUGGUAGGCUGAAAUCUUAGGUAAAUCCGGGGUUUCAAGGCCGAGAGCUGAUGACGAGUGUUCUUUUGAACACGAAGUGGUUGAUGCCAUGCUUCCAAGAAAAGCUUCUAAGCUUCAGGUAACCAGGAACCGUACCCCAAACCGACACAGGUGGUUGGGUAGAGAAUACCAAGGCGCUUGAGAGAACUCGGG